rnacentral:lncRNA from 1 species
UUAGAUUGACAUAUCCAUAGGACAUGCAGUUACCCUAGACCAUGUAGACAAACAGGAAGAGAAAGGUCUCUGAUUCAGUUCUCUGUGAAGUUCAAGGUCUUUCUUAGUCUAAAUAUGGGAAGAUGUGAAAGGUAAUUUUGAAAGUUUGCAAGUGUGCAAAAAUAUGUUAUUUCUAACAAAAUGUGCUGUUUCACAAAUAAAAUACUCUGUGUCUUAGACACUUAUGUAGCAAUUGCAAUAAGGCCACUAUAUUGGUGUAUGAAAUGAUUGUAAGCUGUAUUUGCCUGACCGGUUAAACUCACCCAUGCCUUCAUUUUCAUGCAUGGAUCAUUUAUGGAUCAAGUUUAUCUGAUAAUUGAAAAUAGCGUCAAAUUUUCAGACAAGUAAAGCUGGCUUAAAUGUUAAUUUCUGUCAUUUGGGCUCUUGCUGAGAGUUGUCUCAUUGGCAAUUAUACCACAUCUACUUUUUUAAUUGACAUUUGAAUGUUGCAUUUUAUAUAUAUAUACAUAUUACAAUCACACAAUAGCUGGCCAAUUGUUAAUAAGCAUCCAUGUUCACAAAUAACUUCAUUUGUGCAAUUAAGGGACAUGCUAAGGAAGACCUUUUUUUAUGCCCCUGCAGUAGUUUUACCCUUGACCGUCUGUACAUGUAUGUACGUCCUUCCAUACCUCCCAAAGUUUGUUACCGUUUUCUAACUUCAGUUUGCCUCAACCAAAUGUUAUGAAACUGAUACACAAUGCUUAUUACCACAAAACACAGAUCAAGUUUGAAUUUUGGUUGCAUCAUGUACUUUAACCGUUCAAGAGUUAUGCCUCUUUACAAAAAAAAUUGCUGAAUUUUUCUAUUUGUUUUCUAACUUUAGUUUGCCUCUGAACCAAAUGCUAUGAAACUAAUACACAGCAAUGCUUAUUUCCACAAAAUACAGAUCAAGUAUGAAUUAAGGGACAGGGUCACUUACCUGUUGUUCAGUUAUGCCCCUUAACAAAUGAAAAAGAUGCUUAUAUUUGUAGUUUCCAUUCUCUAACAUUGGUUUGCCUCAACUAAAUGCAAUGAAACUUAUACACAAUGCUUGUUACCACAAAAUACAGAUCAAGUUUGAAUUUUAUGGGGGUCACUUUAACUUUUCUAGAAUUAUGCCUCUUCACAAAUUGAAUGAUUGCUGAAAUUUUCAUUUCCAUUCAUUAACUUUAGCUUGCCUCAACCAAAUGCUAUGAUAUUUUAAACAAUACUUAUUACCACAAAAUACAAAUCAAGUUUGAAUUUUGAGGUUGUCACUAAAUUUUCUAGAGUUAUGCCCCUUUGAAAAUGGAAAAAUUGCUGAAUUUUUGUUUCCAAUCUCUAAAUUAAGUUUGCAUAAACCAAGUUUUAUGGAACUUAUACACAAUACCUAUUACCACUAAAUCAGAUCAAGUGUUUUUGGUAGAGUCACUUUUACUGUUCUUCAGUUAUGUCCUUUUAUAACUUUAUAUGAUAUAUGCAAGCGGGGGCAUCAACUGUGAUCCAUUGAUACAUUCCCCAUUUAAUUUUUUGUUUAACAUCGAUUUUUUUUGGGGUGUCCAAGCCGAUAAAUUAGAGUUGAAAGGGCAAUCAAAACGCAUCUUUUUUGUUGUUAGCCCUAUUGAAAACUAUUGUACAGCAUUUUGUACAGAGAGGGAAACUUUGUAUAGUAAAAAUGAUCAACACCAUAAGAUCUACUAAUAAGUCACAUCAUUUUCUUUGUAGGAUACAUAGAAAUCUUGAAGGACAAAUUGGUGCGAGUCUUAAAAGGCACAGAUUUGAAGAUAAACAAGAGAAAAAGAAUGACAAACAUGGUUUAAAGGACUGCAGACUUCCUGAUAUCUAUCGAACUGUUCUUUUUGACAUAAAUGUAAUAAUGCAAUAUCAACUUAUUUGUAUAGGCAUACAUCCUGUGAAUCUUGUUGGUGCCUUUUAAGCUCCUUAAAUGCAAUCACUAUUAAGUAAAAAUUAUCAUGAUUGUAGUUCUUUAUUUGAGUUUAUUAGUUGACUAGCGCGUAGUAAUUGCAUAUGUAUGCAUUAUCAUAUACCAUACCUUUCAGCAAUCUUAGUCUUUUUAAUUUAGAAAUAAAUUUAAAAACAAGUUAUUCUUAUUGAAUUUUAUUUUCUAUGUUUAACCUGUUAUAUGCAUGUAGCAACCUUUAUCAUGUUUAUAUUUCUUAAAAAAUACUUUUUUCUGAAC